rnacentral:rRNA from 1 species
CAGUAGCCGCGGGAAUACGUAGGUGGCAAGCGUUGUCCGGAAUUAUUGGGCGUAAAGGGCUCGCAGGCGGUUUCUUAAGUCUGAUGUGAAAGCCCCCGGCUCAACCGGGGAGGGUCAUUGGAAACUGGGAAACUUGAGUGCAGAAGAGGAGAGUGGAAUUCCACGUGUAGCGGUGAAAUGCGUAGAGAUGUGGAGGAACACCAGUGGCGAAGGCGACUCUCUGGUCUGUAACUGACGCUGAGGAGCGAAAGCGUGGGGAACGAACAGGAUUAGAUACCCCGGUAGUCCCUGUCUCUUAUAC